GAUGAACGCUGGCGGCGUGCUUAACACAUGCAAGUCGAACGAAGCAUUUAAGACGGAUUACUUCGGUUUGAAGUCUUUUAUGACUGAGUGGCGGACGGGUGAGUAACGCGUGGGUAACCUGCCUCAUACAGGGGGAUAGCAGCUGGAAACGGCUGGUAAUACCGCAUAAGCGCACAGUACCACAUGGUACAGUGUGAAAAACUCCGGUGGUAUGAGAUGGACCCGCGUCCGAUUAGCUGGUUGGUGAGGUAACGGCCCACCAAGGCGACGAUCAGUAGCCGACCUGAGAGGGUGACCGGCCACAUUGGGACUGAGACACGGCCCAGACUCCUACGGGAGGCAGCAGUGGGGAAUAUUGCACAAUGGAGGAAACUCUGAUGCAGCGACGCCGCGUGAGUGAAGAAGUAGUUCGCUAUGUAAAGCUCUAUCAGCAGGGAAGAUAGUGACGGUACCUGACUAAGAAG
rnacentral:rRNA from 1 species